CUCCCAUGGAAGUACUCUCAGGGUAUUUAUUUGAGGAAUUUUUCAUGGAUUUUGUAUCAAUUACAGUAGUUCUUUCAGAAUAAAUGGAAAGUCAAUUGAAAAAAAAAAUUAAUGUGACCCUGCAGAUGAGCUGUGAUCUCUGGGUUGCAGCUGCGUGUUCUGUUUCCCUGUAUCUACCUGGCAACGUAUUGUAUUCCCGUCAACAAAUCAGCAGAUCCCUAAUACUCCUCUUCUUCCUCCUUUUUUUUUCCAGCUGAAAACAUUUUGUUGGCUUUUUGGAUAGAAAGGGGGAAUUUAUUUGCCAGGAAGGAUGAGCCCCUCAUAGUUCUGCUGGAACCAUCACAUGGCCUCCUCUUUGCUGAUGCUGCGCGUGGCCCCAGUGCAGCCUGUCCUGAUUGAAAGAGCACACAUCUGAAGUCCAG